rnacentral:rRNA from 1 species
UACGUAGGUGACAAGCGUUGUCCGGAUUUACUGGGCGUAAAGAGCGCGCAGGCGGUCGAUCAAGUCGAGUGUGAAAGCCCCCCGGCUCAACUGGGGAGGGUCAUUCGAUACUGAUCGACUCGAAGGCAGGAGAGGGUAGUGGAAUUCUCGGUGUAGCGGUGAAAUGCGUAGAUAUCGAGAGGAACACCUGCGGCGAAGGCGGGUUGCUGGGCUGACACUGACGCUGAAGUGCGAAAGCUAGGGGAGCGAACGGG